rnacentral:SRP_RNA from 1 species
GGUCGGGUCCCAUGCAAGCCGAACACGCGAACCUGGUCAGGCGGGGAACCGAGCAGCCAUAAGCGACUGUUGGGUUGUGUGUGGCAAACCCGGCCGUU